CCUACGGGGGGCAGCAGUGAGGAAUAUUGGUCAAUUGACGAGAGUCUGAACCAGCCAAGUAGCGUGAAGGAUGACUGCCCUAUGGGUUGUAAACUUCUUUUAUAUGGGAAUAAAAUGUUCCACGUGUGGGAUUUUGUAUGUACCAUAUGAAUAAGGAUCGGCUAACUCCGUGCCAGCAGCCGCGGUAAUACGGAGGAUCCGAGCGUUAUCCGGAUUUAUUGGGUUUAAAGGGAGCGUAGGUGGAUUGUUAAGUCAGUUGUGAAAGUUUGCGGCUCAACCGUAAAAUUGCAGUUGAAACUGGCAGUCUUGAGUACAGUAGAGGUGGGCGGAAUUCGUGGUGUAGCGGUGAAAUGCUUAGAUAUCACGAAGAACUCCGAUUGCGAAGGCAGUUCACUGGACUGCAACUGACACUGAGGCUCGAAAGUGUGGGUAUCAAACAGGAUUAGAUACCCUAGUAGUC
rnacentral:rRNA from 1 species